rnacentral:rRNA from 1 species
GACAGAGGGUGCAAACGUUGUUCGGAAUUACUGGGCGUAAAGCGCGUGUAGGCUGCUUCAUAAGUCGGAUGUGAAAGCCCUGGGCUCAACCUAGGAAGUGCAUUCGAAACUGCGAAGCUUGAGUCCUGGAGAGGAAGGCGGAAUUCUCGGUGUAGAGGUGAAAUUCGUAGAUAUCGAGAGGAACACCGGUGGCGAAGGCGGCCUUCUGGACAGUGACUGACGCUGAGACGCGAAAGCUAGGGGAGCAAACAGG